UACGUAGGGCGCAAGCGUUGUCCGGAAUUAUUGGGCGUAAAGAGCGUGUAGGCGGCCAGGUAGGUCGGUUGUGAAAACUGGAGGCUCAACCUUCAGAGGUCGACCGAAACCAUCUGGCUAGAGUCCGGGAGAGGAGAGUGGAAUUCCUGGUGUAGCGGUGAAAUGCGCAGAUAUCAGGAAGAACACCCGUGGCGAAAGCGGCUCUCUGGAACGGUACUGACGCUGGGACGCGAAAGCGUGGGGAGCGAACAGG
rnacentral:rRNA from 1 species